rnacentral:rRNA from 1 species
CCUACGGGGGGCAGCAGUGGGGAAUAUUGGGCAAUGGAGGCAACUCUGACCCAGCAACGCCGCGUGAGUGAUGAAGGUCUUCGGAUUGUAAAACUCUUUAAGUGGGGACGAAGAAAGUGACUGUCCCCACAGAAUAAGCGUCGGCUAACUACGUGCCAGCAGCCGCGGUAAGACGUAGGAGGCAAGCGUUAUCCGGAAUGACUGGGCGUAACGGGUGUGUAGGUGGUUUGACAAGUUAGUAGCGUAAUUCAGGGGCUCAACUUCGGAACGACUACUAAAACUGGUGGGCUUUAGUGCAGGAUGGGUGGAUGGAAUGCCUAGUGUAGCGGUGGAAUGCGUCGAUAUUAGGAGGACCACCAGCGGCGAACGCGCUUCACUGGACUGUACCUGACACUGAGGCACGACAGCGUGGGGAGCGAACAGGAUUAGAUACCCGGGUAGUC